rnacentral:rRNA from 1 species
CCUACGGGAGGCAGCAGUGAGGAAUAUUGGUCAAUGGACGAAAGUCUGAACCAGCGAUGCCGCGUGCAGGAAGACGGCUCUAUGAGUUGUAAACUGCUUUUGUACAAGGGUAAACCUGAAUACGUGUAUUCAGCUGAAAGUACUGUACGAAUAAGGCUCGGCUAACUACGUGCCAGCAGCCGCUGUAAUACGGAGGAUCCAAGCGUUAUCCGGAUUUAUUGGGUUUAAAGGGUGCGUAGGCGGAUUGAUAAGUUAGAGGUGAAAUGUCCGGGCUCAACUCGGGAACUGCCUCUAAUACUGUUGAACUAGAGAGUAGAUGCGGUAGGCGGAAUGUAUGGUGUAGCGGUGAAAUGCUUAGAGAUCAUACAGAACACCGAUGGCGAAGGCAGCUUACCAAUCUAUAUCUGACGUUGAGGCACGAAAGCGUGGGGAGCAAACAGGAUUAGAUACCCCAGUAGUC